ACUCCCUGGAUUCCUUACCCAUCUGACCUAAACACUGGUCUGGGUGGUUAUAAAAAGAGGAUGAUCAAAUUGAAACUGACUUAAGUUCUGUUGUGGCUCACAAGCUCGUUUCAAACAAGC
ensembl:snoRNA